CGCACAUUGCGCCCCCUGGCAUUCCGGAGGGCAUGCCCGUUCGAGCGUCAUUGCACCAAUCAAGCCCGGCUUGGUGUUGGGGCCCCGGGGGCGACCCGGCCCCCAAGUUCGCCGGCGGGAGCGUCCCGAUCGCAGCGGUAUGGCAAUCCAAUUCGCUGGGGAGAGGGGCGGUCCUCGCCGUUAAACGUCCAUCACAGGUUGACCUCGGAUCGGGUAGGGAUACCCGCUGAACUUAA
rnacentral:misc_RNA from 1 species